AAAACCAGUAAUGAGAAAGAAUUAUGAUUAAUGAAACUUGGGAUCAUGGCCUGCAUUUUUGUCAUUGUACUUCCAAUGCAAAUGGAAAAAGAAGCAAAAAAUAACACAUUCUUUAGAAAGAAAAAAAAGAGACACUCAGGAACAUUACAGGCCACGCUGCAAAUGGCAAACACCAACUGGACAGAUCUGGAACUCUUGGUCCAACUGUUAAGACGAGAUGAAGGUAACUCCCAAGCACGGCGUGAAACCAGAGCAGCAGGAAAGCAUGGGGCAGCUGACGCUGGGGCACACAACUCCUCCUUCCUGAUGCUUCCAUGCAAUAAGGAAAUAGCCCUGAGGUCUGAGAGCCUUUACAAAGCUCCCCCAGUGCCCAGCCGCCCUGUGCUCAGCCAGCACCUUGCUUCUGCCACAGCUACGACCCAUUGAGUGCCCGCUGCAAUGCCAAACCUGAAGGCAGACGACAUGCAAAGCACAAGCUACCAACGAGCACGCGGGAAAUGACGCGUUCCUUACGAACACCUUGUCGGAUAUUUUCGUUCUAAAAAACGUAAUUUGGUUUAUUACUGUUUGAAAAGCAGAGUUCUGUGUUAGCACCAUCUGCAAAAAUAAUUCCUCUUCCAGAUGAGCUCUGGAAAAUCUUUCACGACUUAUUCUGUUAUUCAGAAUAGUAAAACAUAUUUUUCCUCCUGCGUUUUGUACAGAAUUACCGAGGAACCAAGGAUGAAUAGAACUUUAUCACUGAAGCCUGCCCCUUAUUACCAUAUAGACAGCAAGGAAGCACACCACCAGCAUUUCUUAUUCACCCUGCUAUGCUACUGGUGAUCCGAGGUGAUGAAGAGAAAUGGUUUACUUUAAGCCACAGAAAUUCAAACCACAACCAGAAAGUGCCAACCCUGCACCAAGCCAAGCCCCCAGCGCAGCAAAUAUCGUUGCAAGUUAAAACCAGAGGGUUUUCUAAUCUGAAUACCUGCAUGCCUUUAUGAGCACUUGCAACGUACUUUGACGUUUUGAGAUGAAAGUGUGUAUUAAGCUUCACCCUGCUGACCGUUCUGAGAUCUUUUUCACAAGUGGGGAACUACAGCAAUGCAUCCAAAUGGACCUUAUCGAAGAGAACGUGACAGGAGGACCUGUCAGGCAGGAAUUAAAGCAGGUUUUGCAACACCCAGCCCCGUGCUCUGGUGUCUGCACGAUGCUGCCUUCCUGCUACGCAAAUCUGCUCUCCAGCAGUACGUGCCAGAAGGAUCCUGAAAAGAACCAGAACGUGUCAAAACGCCCUUCUCCAAUGACUACUUUCGUGAGACGUGAGCUGACACUGUCCUCUUGUUUUCAGGUUAUGCAAAGAAAUGACUGAACCAGAGAGCAGGGUUUUAUUUACAACCACGUUAUGAAGGAAAUACCGCCAUGCAGUUUUUUCAGCUGCAAGGUGUCAGAAUUCUUCCCUGUAAGGCACGAAGGGAAAGGCAACAACAAAUGCUGAUGCUCUCGCUUUACUCCCAGCGUAGGUUCCAAAGCCAUGCACAUCCCUGCUAGUCACUGCAAGUCAGACUUGAAACAUGUCUGUGCAGUUUCUGCCAGCUGCAAUCCUUCACCCAAGCCAAAGGCUGCUGAAAAACAGAACGUAUUUGUGCGAAGUUCACAAUUUUCGGUUUAGGUAGGGGGAAAAAAAAACAGCACUCCAAAUACUCCCCACCUCCCAGUGCCUUCAUUUGCAUCACGCUCAAUACGAACAACACAACAGCUAAGAAUCAAGACUGCACAUGCCCUAGCGUCCUACCAGGGACUGCGAAGAUAAAAGCAAAAUCUUGGAUGGGAUGAUUGUUGUAACCGUGACAAUAUUGUGGCAGGGGAGGAAUGGCCCUGGGUGCCCCCACCCCCAAAACUCAGCAUCUCCUGGUGGCAUUCCCACCCCGAGGGUACCCCAGGUAAGGGCUGUGCAGGGGGUGAUCAGGCCACGGAAGCUGCUUGCUCCAAGGGCACACACCACACUAAAUACUUUCAGACAGUUUCCAUCUCCCCAGGAAUGGAUUUGCAAACGGAAAGAAAAAUUCCUGCCGUGGAAACUAAAACACACUGCAGACUUGUAAGCUAAAUUAUAUUGGUGGAGCGCAAUUACAAUAAUAAUGGAGAGGCGCUCCGUGUUUAUUCUGCGGGAAGGAAAAAAGAGGACCCAACACGGUAUAUGAAAUCUGACACAAAAGAAACUGAUGUAACAAAGCAGUAUCCAUAGCAACAACAACUUAAUAUUUCAGUCCUCUUCAGCUGCAGUGGAUUAAAUAUAAUGACAAGAUGUUCCCUUUGAAAAGUAACCUGUUGCCAUGGCAACGUUGUAUUCUGAAAAGUAAACAGGGGCUGGUCAGGGAGAGAUGGAAGCCUGCGACGGAAUAUCAAAGAGGCAGAGACCUCUCUAGCAGAGCGGGGCAGCACCGGAGCCCGCUGAUCCAGCAGAGCACGUUCCAAGUGCUGCAGAGAGCGCAGCGAGGCAGGAUGGAAGCCAUCAUGGCACAGCCAGGCCGAGAACAAGUCCGUGCAAGGAAACCAGCGCUCUCUCCAUAGAGGAAUCACCUGCACAGGCCUGAAACUUGUACUCCAUCCACCAUGUUUCCCACUGACACGGGAAGGAACAAAAACUUGAUUCAGACUCCUAAUAGAAGUCUCCCUGCAGACAAGGAAGGAAGUAAUCAGAUUUAUAGGCCCUGUACCUCAGCUCCCUUCUCUAAUAUCCCCCUUGUCUAGCAAACAAACUAUUUUCAAGUACUCAGUGUAAAAAGAACGUUCUUUCCCAGCUGGCUGCCCCGUUCAGAGGAGAUAUUCCACAAUGGAGGGCCACGAACGCCGUUCACACCUGCCUGCGAGCUGAUUAACACUCAGUUCGAGGUGACAACACCCAUUUUGAUUUUUAUAUUCCACUACCAGACUCUUCUCACUGUUGUGGGGAUUACUGAAAGGAAGAGUGUAACCUUUCAGCAAAAUCCAUAGCACAAAAGCAGGUUCUCAUGGUCUGUGAAGAAAAGUUACUCAGGGCUUCCUUCACUCCCAGACACUCAGGGCUUCCUUCAUUCCACAUCCACCUCCCCAGGCCUCGGGAUGUUUGUUAGCACGGCGAAGCACCGAAAGCAGCCAGAUUCCAAGAGGAGAGGCCUGGUACAGCACCUCAUGGAGAAUACAAAUUGAAAGCACCCGGAGAAAUACAACUCUGUAACCCAACCCACAACUCAAGGCACCUUGGUCUAAGAGCGCACCCUGUCCCACACGUUCCUACAGUCCAGCUGGGGGAUUCAUGGCGGUAUCCAGAGCCGUUCCUGUAACGCAUCAGUGCCUCCAGCCACAAAAAACAUCUCCCAUGUGACAUAAAACGCCAGAGGAGAAAGUCAGAUCACAUUCAAGACAAAGUUUUGUCGGCAUGGUACGAUACUUGCGCUUCCAAAAGCCAUAUAAAGCUAGGAGAAGGCACCAGCAAAGAAGCACACGUUGUAAUGCAGUUCAGCAUGGACCAAAGCAGUCCAAACUUGGGCCUUAAUCUGAACGUCCUGCGCACAAGACAAAACAAGAUUAAAUGAGGAAGGUAUGGCUGCAACCAAAGAAAGGGAAGACACUGAGAGCUGGCUGCUCUGAGGAACCAGCUGGGCACUAAGCGCGAUGCUUUGUCACUUCAUUGAUCCCCUCAGUCUCAGUCACCUUCUAUGUAGAAAUACUCAGAAGAAUUAACAGUUUUUUCCACACAUAAUGAGUUUAAAAUUGCCUGACAGCUCUGGCACAAAUGGCAUUUCACCAUUGUUAGACAGCAAACUCCAACACUGGUACAAACAGCUCGUUUAACGUUCUCUACCUCAAAAUCAAAAUGCACCGCAGAAAAGUGAUGAAGGCAAAACAGGAGUCAGGUGUGAUGCUGAGUACCAGAGAUGUAUCGCAACAAACCUGGCGCAUGACUCGUCUUUUUGGACUUCUCCAAGAAAAUACACAAAUGGUAUUAACAAAAGCAACUUGACAUGAUGCAUUUCAAGAUAUGAGAGGACUCAAUUUGUCUUUUUCUCCCCGGAGCUCAGCAGCGUACACUAGCAAGAUUGCCUCCUAGGGACCUAUACUGACAAAACUUGCUAUCAGCACAGACUGAAUCAAUUAAAGGAGUGUACUUAAUCUGAUAUCCUGCCUCAGACAUACGAACAGCUUAAGACACUUCAGAGAAGGCACAGGAAACCUCAGAAAUAGGCAAUUAUGUAAUAACACACACGGGGAGUUUCUUCACAACUGCAGGCAGUAGCUGGCUAUGCCCCGAAGCAUGAGGAUUUACAUUCUAUUAAAAACUGUUAAUCUACAAUGUAAUAAUGCAUUUAUUUAUUAUGCCUAUCUCUUCUCCACUUAAAGUAACCGCUGUUCUCAACAAUAUCACUAGAAAUCGAGGUCCACAAGGUAAUUGGGUUUUGUGCUGAAAGAAACAAUAGCACGUUCAGCCAGCACAGUCCUCACUGAACCCCAUCAACCUUACAGGCAAGACCUCACAGAAAACACCCCGAGACAGCACGCUAUCUGGGACAGGGCUUGUAAGUCUGCUCUGGGUUUACAGAACUAAAGAAAUGAAUAAGAGUUAAGUGUCUGGACUUGAAAACAACAAAGGUGCAAACCUGGCUGAUAAAGGCAGCUCGGACAACACCCAGGAAGAUUCCAAGGAUUCCGUGGACCAGAAGAGUGUGCUGAACACACCUUCUUCAUAUAUGCUUUCAUUGCUAAAAAAAACCUCCCUCUCUACUUCAGCUUUGCUCAUUUCCAGCAAAGCAUCAGGUAGCUCCUGGUAUGGGGCCUCACAUGGGCAUUUACAUAUGAAAGCGUAUCUUCCACACUUGAAAACUCUCAGUACAACUUCUUAUAAGUGAAAGCUUCAGCUCUGCUCACCAGGAGGUGCGUACGUAUCCUACGAGCAUUUUCCACAAUGUGCACUUACUCAUACCUAAGAAAUCCUGCCAAUGCUUGCACCUUCCAAAAUAAAUCCACAGAUCUAAACUGGGUGUUUAAGUAUUCAUCAGGCAUUAUUCACAUAUAUACACAUAUAUAUAAACUUUAUAUAUACAUAAAUUAUAUAUGUAUUAAAAAAACAUAUAGACACACCCCUCCAGCAGGAACAGGUAGCUUCUCCUUCACGUUCCCUUCUACCCCACUUCCCUAUCAGCAUCAUGCUUGAUUUUAGCUUUUCUCCCCUUUGUAAGUUUUCCUGCUCCUACAGGCUCAAAUCUGUGGUAAAGGCUGCCUUUAAAAGCCACUU